rnacentral:rRNA from 1 species
CGGGCGUAGCAAUACGUCAGUGGCAGACGGGUGAGUAACGCGUGGGAACGUACCUUUUGGUUCGGAACAACACAGGGAAACUUGUGCUAAUACCGGAUAAGCCCUUACGGGGAAAGAUUUAUCGCCGAAAGAUCGGCCCGCGUCUGAUUAGCUAGUUGGUAGGGUAAUGGCCUACCAAGGCGACGAUCAGUAGCUGGUCUGAGAGGAUGAUCAGCCACAUUGGGACUGAGACACGGCCCAAACUCCUACGGGAGGCAGCAGUGGGGAAUAUUGGACAAUGGGCGCAAGCCUGAUCCAGCCAUGCCGCGUGAGUGAUGAAGGCCCUAGGGUUGUAAAGCUCUUUUGUACGGGAAGAUAAUGACGGUACCGUAAGAAUAAGCCCCGGCUAACUUCGUGCCAGCAGCCGCGGUAAUACGAAGGGGGCUAGCGUUGCUCGGAAUCACUGGGCGUAAAGGGUGCGUAGGCGGGUUUUUAAGUCAGAGGUGAAAUCCUGGAGCUCAACUCCAGAACUGCCUUUGAUACUGAAAGUCUUGAGUAUGGGAGAGGUGAGUGGAACUGCGAGUGUAGAGGUGAAAUUCGUAGAUAUUCGCAAGAACACCAGUGGCGAAGGCGGCUCACUGGCCCAUAACUGACGCUGAGGCACGAAAGCG